CAGCCGCCACGGUAAUACGUAGGUGGCAAGCGUUGUCCGGAAUUAUUGGGCGUAAAGGGCUCGCAGGCGGUUUCUUAAGUCUGAUGUGAAAGCCCCCGGCUCAACCGGGGAGGGUCAUUGGAAACUGGGAAACUUGAGUGCAGAAGAGGAGAGUGGAAUUCCACGUGUAGCGGUGAAAUGCGUAGAGAUGUGGAGGAACACCAGUGGCGAAGGCGACUCUCUGGUCUGUAACUGACGCUGAGGAGCGAAAGCGUGGGGAGCGAACAGGAUUAGAUACCCCGGUAGUCCCUGUCUCUUAUAC
rnacentral:rRNA from 1 species